rnacentral:lncRNA from 1 species
GAAACUGUACUUAGGAGGCGCUAUAUUGAACAGUGAUCCAGCUGAAGGCUAUGAAAGAUGGAUUAUGGACAACAGAUUUAAUAAGUCACUAUUGCAGUAUCUCAAUGAAACGGGCUCGCAUCCUUAUAUUUAGU